CUUAAUGUAGCGGUAUGAGAGGUUUGGUUGUUCAUGGAUUCAAGAAAUGUUAAGGAAGCCUGAAGAUGUAUUAGGGAGAAGUUAUUAGAUAGGACAUGGCACGAUUGCAGAUUACCGAGGACAUGACUUUAGACAUGAAGGUGUGAAGGACAGAGAUUAGGAUAGAAGGCUAGUGGUUAGGAAUGUUUUCAUACUAUUAGCUACGAGUUUAUUGUCUGUCGUCAAUUCUUCAAGCUACAUUAUUACUCGUGUUUCUUGUUCUUCAAUUUUUGUUAUUUUCAUGUAGUUUGAUCAUAGUUGUAGUAUUGUUCUACUACAAUUUGUUGAUUAAUACUAGAUUUUUAUUUUAUUUCCAAUACUUCUUUUUUAGACUAUUUUUGUUUUGAGUGAGGGUCUAUUAGAAACAACUAUUCUUCCUUUAAGGUAAAGAUAUGUCAGCAUAAAUAAUAACCUCCAAAGACCACAUUGUGUGGGACUACAGUAGAUUUUUUUGUUCAUUUUUGUAGUUGAUUGUUAAUUUGAUUGUCAUUUUAGAUAAUUAAAAUGCUAUUAUGUGACGUGGAACUUUGAUCUUUUGUGCAUUUGUUGUGUUGGUGUUUUAUCCUGACUUUUUUUAAAACUUUAAUAUGGUUGCUGUAAUGAACAUUUUAUUAAAUAACAUGAAAGUUUCCAAAAAACUAAAAUGUAACACAAUCCAAAGCAAAGAAAAGGAUCGUCCCAAAGUGACCGGCCCAUCAACAAAUAAUUUCAACACAAGCUGGAUACGUCACUUCUCCAUCUUCAUCAAUUCCUUUAUUUGCCAGAAAAGGAAACCAAAGUUUCCUUUCAAUUCCUUACAUCACCACUAAAAUCCUUAUUGUUUAAAUUGUUAUUCAUAUGAUUUUGUUCCACCACAGUGCAGAUUUCAAUCUCCAUGUUCAAAUUCAUUUCUCUAUGAAUUUAAUAUGGGUCAAGAAUGAAUUUCGUCAGUUUUAGAAGUUGGGAAUUAUUAUGCUAGGUUUAAGGAGAAAGGAGAAGAGAAGAAGAAGAAGAAGAAGAAGAAGAAGAAGGGCAAGAUUCGCCAAAAUCAUCAAAUCAACUCGUGCAUUUCGUUGGGGGUGAUCCCUAAAACGGAUGCUUUAAUGUCGGAUGUACGAUUGGGAGAGUCUUCUACUUCGCUUAAGCACUUACUAGACAAUCUUACCAUUGCUAUUCGUAAAGGUGCUAGAACUAUUGCCCAUUAAAUUCCGUUUUGUCCUUAUUUUUGAGUUAUUAUCGUCUGUCACAAUUGUAUUAUUCCUUCAUUACUAGCUUAUCAACAAUCAAAGUUCCCAAGACUUUGGCAGAAGAAUUGGUUUAUCCAGGUUGGAAUCAGACUAUGAUUUUUGAGAUGACUACAUUGCAUGGUAAUAGUAAUGUUGAGCUUAUUUCCUUACCAGAAGGAAAAACAACAAUUGGUUGUCAUUGGAUAUUCUUUGUUAUGAUACAUUAUAUGAAGCUAUUGAUCUUUUCAAAGCGAGCUUGAUUGCUAACAGACACAGAUAUAUGACAUUGAUUAUGAAAUUUUUUUAAUUGUUCCUAUGAUGGCAUUCGUCCAUAUUCUUAAUGGACCCCUUUUUUCAAAUGAACAUAAAAAAUGUAUUUCUACAUUGAGAACUUAUUGAAGAGGUAUAUAUGGAGAAACCAACAGGAUUUGUUGCUGAGGACAACAUAGACUAGUUUGUAAACUUCGUCAAUAUCUCUAUGGUCUCAAGUCAUCUCACAGAGCAUGGUUUGUUCAUUUCUAUCUAUUAUCCAACAAUGUGGAAUGAUCCGAAUAUAAGCUAAUCACUAUAUAUUCUAUAGGCAUUAA